rnacentral:rRNA from 1 species
GAUGAACGCUGGCGGCGUGCCUAAUACAUGCAAGUCGAGCGAACGGACGAGAAGCUUGCUUCUCUGAUGUUAGCGGCGGACGGGUGAGUAACACGUGGAUAACCUACCUAUAAGACUGGGAUAACUUCGGGAAACCGGAGCUAAUACCGGAUAAUAUUUUGAACCGCAUGGUUCAAAAGUGAAAGACGGUCUUGCUGUCACUUAUAGAUGGUUCCGCGCUGCAUUAGCUAGUUGGUAAGGUAACGGCUUACCAAGGCAACGAUGCAUAGCCGACCUGAGAGGGUGAUCGGCCACACUGGAACUGAGACACGGUCCAGACUCCUACGGGAGGCAGCAGUAGGGAAUCUUCCGCAAUGGGCGAAAGCCUGACGGAGCAACGCCGCGUGAGUGAUGAAGGUCUUCGGAUCGUAAAACUCUGUUAUUAGGGAAGAACAUAUGUGUAAGUAACUGCGCACAUCUUGACGGUACCUAAUCAGAAAGCCACGGCUAACUACGUG